AACAAAUCUCUUGUCUGCUUUCUGCUUUAGGAGGUCACUGGCAAUUGGCAGUUGAUUCCGAUUAGGUUCAGCCCCCAGUACUGUGGGCCUGUUGUGAUCCCCCCCCCCCCCACACACACACACACACACAGUCACAUCACUGUUACAAUGUUUACUGUUUCCAACAUGAAUGUAUUGUAAUGUGCAGAACAAUGCCGGUCCGGUGGUUAAAGCUUGGAGAACUUUCCAGUUCAUCAGCCCCAUCAUCACCUACAUGCGUGGGGGAUCCCAGCAGGUGGUGGUGAGGAUGCACCACGUGAGUAGGGUGAGAGGCCUGGAGACUCAACUGGUGUGGGCCAUCUCCAAGGAGACAGCCAGGCUUAGUCCAGAGGGAAUCCCCUACUGUGCCACCAAAGUGCAGUCCAUCACUUGGAUCCAGGUAAGACAUAAAUACU
rnacentral:lncRNA from 1 species